rnacentral:rRNA from 1 species
CCAGACUCCUACGGGAGGCAGCAGUGAGGAAUAUUGGUCAAUGGUCGUAAGACUGAACCAGCCAAGUAGCGUGCAGGAUGACGGCCCUAUGGGUUGUAAACUGCUUUUAUGCGGGGAUAAAAUGCGUCACGUGUGAUGUUUUGUAGGUACCGCAUGAAUAAGGACCGGCUAAUUCCGUGCCAGCAGCCGCGGUAAUACGGAAGGUCCGGGCGUUAUCCGGAUUUAUUGGGUUUAAAGGGUGCGCAGGCGGAAUGUCAAGUCAGCGGUAAAAUUUCGGGGCUCAACCCCGUCGUGCCGUUGAAACUGGCGUUCUUGAGUGGGCGAGAAGUAUGCGGAAUGCGUGGUGUAGCGGUGAAAUGCAUAGAUAUCACGCAGAACUCCGAUUGCGAAGGCAGCAUACCGGCGCUCAACUGACGCUCAUGCACGAAAGCGUGGGUAUCGAACAGGAUUAGAUACCCGCGUAU